rnacentral:rRNA from 1 species
AGCGAACGCUGGCGGCAGGCUUAACACAUGCAAAUCGAGCGGGCACUUUCGGGUGUCCGCGGCGGACGGGUGAGUAACGCGUGGGAACGUGCCCUCUGGUUCGGAAUAACUCAGGGAAACUUGAGCUAAUACCGGAUACGCCCUUUUGGGGAAAGGCUUGCUGCCGGAGGAUCGGCCCGCGUCUGAUUAGCUAGUUGGUGAGGUAACGGCUCACCAAGGCGACGAUCAGUAGCUGGUCUGAGAGGAUGAUCAGCCACACUGGGACUGAGACACGGCCCAGACUCCUACGGGAGGCAGCAGUGGGGAAUAUUGGACAAUGGGCGCAAGCCUGAUCCAGCCAUGCCGCGUGAGUGAUCAAGGCCUUAGGGUUGUAAAGCUCUUUUAUCUGGGACGAUAAUGACGGUACCGGAGGAAUAAGCCCCGGCUAACUUCGUG